UUACCUGGCUGGGGAGAAACUCCAGGGUAAGAUGCCUCCUUUGCAUGUCUGAUGUACUUGUCCCUGUGGUUUUCCCAAAAUGAAGGAAAUACAAGUACACAACUUGUGGUAGUGGGGACUGUGAUCCCCAUUUCCUUU
rnacentral:snRNA from 1 species